rnacentral:rRNA from 1 species
AACGAACGCUGGCGGCAUGCCUAACACACGCAAGUCGAACGAGAUCCUUCGGGGUCUAGUGGCGCACGGGUGCGUAACGCGUGGGAAUCUGCCCUUGGGUCUGGGAUAACAGCGGGAAACUGCUGCUAAUACCGGAUGAUAUCGCGAGAUCAAAGAUUUAUCGCCCGAGGAUGAGCCCGCGUCGGAUUAGCUAGUUGGUGGGGUAAAGGCCUACCAAGGCGACGAUCCGUAGCUGGUCUGAGAGGAUGAUCAGCCACACUGGGACUGAGACACGGCCCAGACUCCUACGGGAGGCAGCAGUGGGGAAUAUUGGACAAUGGGCGCAAGCCUGAUCCAGCAAUGCCGCGUGAGUGAUGAAGGCCUUAGGGUUGUAAAGCUCUUUUACCCGGGAUGAUAAUGACAGUACCGGGAGAAUAAGCUCCGGCUAACUCCGUGCCAGCAGCCGCCGCCGUAA